rnacentral:rRNA from 1 species
AGCAGCCGCGGUAAUUCCAGCUCCAAUAGCGUAUAUUAAAGUUGUUGCAGUUAAAAAGCUCGUAGUUGAACCUUAGGCCCGUGCGGGCGGUCCGUCCUCUGGGCGAGCACUGCCUCGUCGCGGGUCUCACCUUCUGGCGAGCGUGGAUGCCAUUCAUUUGGUGUCCUUGGGAACCAGGACCUUUACCUUGAAAAAAUUAGAGUGCUCAAAGCGGGCUCUUACGCUUGAAUACAUUAGCAUGGAAUAAUGAAAUAGGACGACGGUUCUAUUUUGUUGGUUUCCGGGAUUGUCGUAAUGAUUAAUAGGGAUAGUUGGGGGCAUUCGUAUUCAAUUGUCAGAGGUGAAAUUCUUGGAUUUAUUGAAGACGGACUACUGCGAAAGCAUUUGCCAAGGAUGUUUUCAUUAAUCAAGAACGAAGUUGGGGAUCGAAGACGAUCAGAUACCGUCGUAGCCUCAACCAUAAACUAUGACCGACUGGGGAAUCGGGACGUAAGUUAGUUUUUCGUGUACUUCGCUCGGG